rfam:Hordeum vulgare subsp. vulgare, WGS project CAJW01000000 data, contig: morex_contig_770626
GCAUCCAUGGCUGAAUGGUUAAAGCGCCCAACCCAUAAUUGGUAAAUUUGCGGGUUCAAUUCCUGCUGGAUGCA